rnacentral:misc_RNA from 1 species
ACAAAUUAUUUAGGCCCCUGGCUGCCCCAAAAGGGCGAAGGGGGGAAACCUAAACAUUUGUGUGCACUAUAUCUGUCCUUGGCAGUUCGAGUGUCCUGGGUUUGCGUAACUGCCCCAGGUACCUACCGAUGCUUUCCCUUAGGGGUUUGCAGACGUUGGGCUGCCGCUUUUUGAACAAACCUCUUUCUUGUUUUUUUGCCUGAAUUUUUUUUGAUCUUUAUUGAUUAAAUUUAAAUA